rnacentral:lncRNA from 1 species
UUAGACAAUGCAAAUUUUGGAAUUUGCAUUGAUGCUGCAAUGUGUUAAUAUUUGGGGAGAUGUUGGGAUAAGGCAAAUGUGUUUUGCAUGUUGGACAGAUGUGAAUCUUUGAGGCCCAGAGGACAGGCUGUGGUAAGCAGAAUAAUGGGCUCCCAAAGAUGCCUACAUCCUAAUUGCCAGAACCUGUUAUAUUACAUGGCAAAGAAGAAUUAAAUUUGCGGGUGGAAUUUGGGUUGCUAAUCAGCUGAUAUCCUGCAUUAUCUCCAUGGGCCCAAUGUAAUUACAGAGUCUUUAUAUGUGGAGGAAGAAGGCAGAAAAGCCUGUGUCAGACUUAUGUGAUGUGAGAAACCCUUGACUGGCCAUUUCUGGCUUUGAAAAUGGAGGAAGGCAUGAGCCAAGGAAUGACAGGAAACUCUAGAAUCUGGAAAAGGAAAGAAAAUUGAUUUUCCCCUGGAGUUUCCUGAAAGGAAUGCAGCUCUGCCCCAUCUUGAUUUAGGCCCAGUGAGAACCAUUUAAAACGUCUGACCUCCAGAACUGUAAGAUGACCAGGGAUGGUAAGAACAAUGUAAUUUGGAGGACAAAGGAAGAACUCAGAUUUCUUGGAUGACUUUACCAGUGAAAUGAGUUCCUGAUUCAUCUGAAAGGGCAAGUGGAAUACCCUAGUAUCUACAGGUGUUCUGAUCUACAGGAGAUUGAAAGGAAGCUGAGGAUGGCUUGAAGUCCAUAUGAUUACCUUCAAGUGGUUUCAGUUGAAAAGCCAUGAGUAAAUGUUGAAAGAAUCAAAGUAACUCCUUACAACAGUCAAUAUUUCUGGAAACUUCCAAGUUGUCCCUGUCUAAGAAAAUCCUUUUGGAAGAUCAAUAUACAUUGACAAAACAGGGUUAGCUGGAACUUUUGUGAAAAGUGAUAGUCUGUAUUCUGCAUCUGUAUUCAGGCCUGAAUUGUCCAUGCUGAUUAUCUGCUUUGAUCUACAUUACUAGGUCUAGUGGGGAACAUUAGUGCAGCUCAGCAAUAUUUCCAGUUAUUCUCUGUCUGGGCAUACUGAAGGAUUGCAUGGUGCUACUCCUCUUUGAAGAUGACAGAGGCCACAUGAUUUGCUUUGGCUGAUAAAUAGUGAGUGGAAGAAAUAUGCACCACUUUCAGAUGAAAAUAAUCAAUAACUGUAACUUGGCUUGUCAAACUGCUUUUUAUAUUCUUUCAUGUCAUUCAUGGAGGUGUCAUAAAAUUCACGCAUCCUGGAAAGCUGAGCCAACACAGAAGACAACUGACCUGGAAUGUCAGCCAGGCGUGUGAUGUAUUUUGCACAAGAUAUUUUUAUUGGAUUAAGCCACUGAGAUUUAGGGGCUGCCCGUUAACACAGCAAAGCUCAUCUUAUGCUACCUAUGUCUUCUACACCUGUGAAAUGUCUAUGGUGACUAUUAGAAUGUGUUUGAAUACAGCUGAACUUACUCUACCAAAUAUUAAAUAUUUAAGUGUUCUAAUUAGGUAAAAUUUGGAAAUCUUUGCAUAUCAUGGAUUUUUAUAUCAGCCCAAGUAUUUGAAAUACGUAGAAUAGUAUAUGAACAUGGCAGUAACAUGACAAAUAAGCAUCCCUUAGUAUUUAAAGGGCACUUAUAAAGUCUUUAUUAUCCUGGAAUAUUUAGUUCAAUGAAUACAAUAACAUCACAAGAAAGAAAACAUCAUGAAUAGAUAAAAUGUAGUUAUCCAUUUAUUUCUUAUUUCUGUAUUCACCAGGAAAGUUUUUUCUGUGUGUUCUUUUAUUUGUAAACAGCUACUUGGUAACUAAGAGGCAUUAAAUUAAAGACUAACUUGACUUUGCCAGGUCAUCAAAUUCUGAUCCAUAAUGAACUCUGUGUAUAAAUAAAAAGCAGAUCAUUUUUUUCCAUCAAAGAGGUAGUUCUUUACAUUUCUAAAUCCAAGUCUCUCAAUAUUCACUCUUUGUAGAAUUUUUAUAAGUGUGUAAGG